rnacentral:misc_RNA from 1 species
AACGCACCUUGCACCCUUUGGUUUUCCAAAGGGUAUGCCUGUUUGAGUAUCAUGAAACUAUCAAGACCUUUCAUUUAUUUGAAAUCAGUCUUGGACUUGGAUGUUUAUGCCGUGCUCUAGUCCUCGGCUCAUCUGAAAUAUAUUAGCUGGAUCCAUUAUACCAACUUGGUUCUUACUCAGCGUGAUAAUUGUCAUUCGCUGAGGACACUUCGGUGGCCAGGCAUUUAGUGGCUUAUCUGCUUCUAACCGUCUCUUUACUGAGACAAAAUAUUUUUAUGAAUCUGAUCUCAAAUCAGGUAGGACUACCCGCUGAACUUAA